CUGUUCUGCUGUCUUGCAAGCUGAGUGUUCUUGGGCAUUGUGCCACAUUUUUUUGUCAUAUUUCUUGACCUAAGCUUGGACUUUUAACUUCAAGGAGAGCAGCCAAGUGUCAAAUUUGGCCUUUUCCAAGUAUUGCUUACAGAAGGCCCAGCAAUCCCCUGAAGUGACUGGCAACACUGUCCUUGGGCCAAAUGCAGAAGGCAGCUGCAGAUGGUGCGAUAGAGAGAUAGUGUGCGGAAGGCACCUCCGGCAAAUCCUGGAUGCCCAGGCCCAGCCAAACCACCAGACUCCUGGCUCCUAGUCAAGACCCCAGCCUUCCUCCAUGAAGGCCGUAUGGGAUUGCAUCCAGAUACCUUAGGAGACUGUCUGGCAACCUGUUCCCCCAGCAUGAGGUGCCUCCCUUCUCUGGCCUUGGACUCAGCCAGCACCUGAGGGAAGAAUGCCUGGCAGAAUGAAAGCCUAAGGACCUGUUUGUAUCUUUUCAUCCUUCAGUAGAACUCCACCUUUCUUAGGCUUUUAGAUGAGGCUUUCUGUUCUUAAGUUCACCUUCUGAUGCCAAAUAUGUAGACCUUGGGCCUGUCACUUUGCUCUCCAAGAGAGUCUCAGAACAACCCUCUGGGGACACGUUUUUGGUUUCAGUCUCUUCAGCAGGCAUUAUCCUUUCUUCUGGAGGUAACACCCCAAAGUUUAUUCGUCCAUUCCUAGCUCAGUUCAUGUGGAUCUGGUGGGGAUCCUGCCUCCAUAAGGAGAGUACAACUUGAGACUGGCCAGCCAGCACUUUGCAUUCCCCCAGUCAUGGGGAUUGGUUCAUUGUUGAGCACACAACCCAGGCCUUUUGCUUCAGAGUUGAACACAUGCUUCAAAUUGUUGUAAUUAGAGGAAAUUCUUCAGCUUAUUAUUAGCUCCUGAGGGAAAAUGCUCAGUUUUAAAGUGGAUUUGAAGAAGAAGGACUAGAGCUGUUGGCACCACUUUGUCACCACAUGGAGCCUGAGAAUGAAAGCAACAUGGAAACCUAUCUGGGUUCCUAUCUGGAAUUGAUUUCUGUGUAUGAUGUGAUGUGGGAGUGAAGUUCACGUAUUCUCACAGGGACAACCAAUUGACUAAGGCAUCAUUUCUUGAGGACACUCUUUACCCCCUGCCUUUCAGUAGCACAUAUAAUUCUAUAUAGGAUUUUUUAUCCUAUUCCAUUGGUCUAUUUGUCUGUACUUGUGCCAAUUGCAUGCUGUUUCAGUUGAUGUUACUUCCUAAUCAAUCUUGAUAUCUGGCACUAUCAAUUCUGCAACUCUGUUCCUUUUCUUUAAAACAGUCUUAUCAUUACUGGCCAUUUUUGUAUAUUCCUUAAUAUAUCUAAGAUCUCUUAAAAUUUCUCUCAGUAUUUUAAAGUACUUUUUGUGUAGAAGUCUUGUAUACCUUCGGUUUAUUUGUAUACCUAGG
rnacentral:lncRNA from 1 species